AUGCUUUUUAUCAAUGACAAACUGGACUAUCUUAUUUUGCACUCAUAUAUUAACCUAGCAGCCCUUCCAAAGUGGAACACGUCCCGAAUAGACAUCUCUGAGGCCGGGCAGCAGCACCAGAAUGAGGAAGUCAACAAGGGAGAGAGAAAACCCAGAGGCACCUCAUGGAGACCUGGCUGUGUUUUUCCUAGGACAGUGCUGGUGUCUGAGGGUCAGGACCUUCUCCUGGAAGAAGAAGCCACACUGGGCUGGGGUGUGAGGGGAGCCAGGGAAGCCAAGCUCGCCUGUUCUUCAACCAGAGAAAUCACGGUGUGCCUAUGGCAAACCCUUAACCUAUUUGUGUCUCCAUCGCCCAUUUGUAAAACAGGUCAGGCACGUCCGUGCAGGGGGCUGAGGGCCGCGGUGGCUGCCAGCAUGGGGUUGAGCGAGGGGCCGGCUGUUGCGGCUCCCGGGGAGCGGGGCCGUGCGGGCCGCAAACCCGGAGCGCGGCGGCUGGACCGAGGCGCUGCGGGCCGCCGUGGCCGAGCUGCGCGCCGGCGCCGUGGUGGCCGUCCCCGCCGAUACGCUGUACGGCCUGGCCUGCUCGGCGAGCUGCUCGGAAGCACUGGGCGCCGUGUACCGUGUCAAGGGCCGCAGCGAGACCAAGCCGCUGGCCGUAUGCCUGGGCCGCGUGGCCGACGUCUACAGGUACUGCCAUGUGAGAGUACCCGAGGGGCUCCUGAAGGACCUGUUGCCAGGACCAGUGACCCUGGUAAUGGAACGCUCAGAGGAGCUCAACAAGGACCUGAAUCCUUUCACUCCUCUUGUAGGCAUCCGGAUUCCUGACCACGCCUUCAUGCAGGACUUGGCCCAGGUUUUUGGGGGGCCACUCGCGCUCACCAGUGCCAACCUCAGCUCCCAGUCCAGCUCUCUGAAUGUUGAGGAAUUCCAGGACCUGUGGCCUCACUUGUCCUUGAUCAUUGAUGGGGGACCCAUUGGGGACGGCCAGAGCCCAGAGUGUCGAUUAGGCUCAACUGUAGUUGACUUGUCUGUGCCUGGAAAGUUUGGCAUCAUUCGUCCUGGUUGUGCCCUUGAAAGUACUUCAGCCGUCCUCCAGGAGUACGGGCUGCUCCCCUCACAUGGAUCCUGCUUGUGACACUCUGGAGGAGGGUGGGCCCAAUGACUGGUGCUGGACACUAUGUGUCCGACCGCUGGUAGCUGGCAAGGCCUCAUUUGCAGAGGCUGCUAGGACUACAGUGUUAGUAGUCUGACCUUUUAAGGCAGAGUUUCUUUCUGAACUGUAUAGACCAGAACUCAGAAGCUGCUCGUUAAGCCUCACACCUGGUUUGGGAGGUUAUAUUAAUUUAUCUAUAAUUUCCUAUAUUAGCUAAAAGCUGAAUAGAAAUUUUAAGUCCAUUCCUAGGAUGGCCUGGUUCGGUUAACAGAUAGGUUUCUUCUUCCUUUGAUUUUUGAAAAAUAAAUAACCAGUUUGCAAUCUAAUGAGAACCUCUUCUCUGGUGGGUAGUGGCAUUUAAGGUCCAAAUCAGCUAACGCAUCAGUUGAUGCUUUUUUAAGAGUCUCAAGUGACCAAAGGCACUUUGUGCUUCUGAAGCUGGAACCAGGUUAGGAUAAAACCUGUGGAGCCAUAGGCCAAACACUACUUCCUCUGAACCAGGGCUGGUUCUGUGCUGUAAUUGCCUGGCAGAGUCAUCAUUUUGGUCUAAUGAUGGGAAGUAAGGUCAGUUGGGGCAGGGGGGUCCAAAUUAUUAAAGAAUGUUGGAAAAUCUCUGCUGUUCUUUGUAGCCACUUUUUUCUUAUUUAUUCAUAAUACAAAGUAUAAUGACUUACACCUGUAAUACCUUUAUUUAAAUCCAGUGUCUACCCUGCAGCUUUUAUUUACAUAUAUAUAUCUCUCAAGUAUUAAACAUAAUUAUUGUUGG